rnacentral:lncRNA from 1 species
GAUAUUGCACAUGCAUUCUAUGAAUCAUAAUCAUCACAACAUAAGGCAAGGGUUUAUUUGAUGAUCAUAGACCUGAUUUAUGCAGGUAUUAAUAAUGAAAUAAGAUUUCGUGAAAGAUAGAAUUAGAGGCAUUCUCUACCUUACAAAGUACCACGAAUAGACUUAAACUUAGAGGUACUAAUCAUCUACACCCCAAAAAAUAGAUAGCAUACUUCACACUCGCCAACUUACGACUCUCCAAUCACACAUGUAGCCACGAGAAUUUGAGUUCCACUACUUAGUACUACUAUGUUGAAG